UACGAAGGGGGCUAGCGUUGCUCGGAAUCACUGGGCGUAAAGGGUGCGUAGGCGGGUCUUUAAGUCAGGGGUGAAAUCCUGGAGCUCAACUCCAGAACUGCCUUUGAUACUGAGGAUCUUGAGUAUGGGAGAGGUGAGUGGAACUGCGAGUGUAGGGGUGAAAUUCGUAGAUAUUCGCAAGAACACCAGUGGCGAAGGCGGCUCACUGGCCCAUUACUGACGCUGAGGCACGAAAGCGUGGGGAGCAAACAGG
rnacentral:rRNA from 1 species